UAAUCUAUUAGGAGGGCAUCUAGUAUGCUAAACAAAGAAAUGUUAAGUGAGA
rnacentral:ncRNA from 1 species